rnacentral:misc_RNA from 1 species
GUGCUUUUCUUGUUCAAGCUGCUGUUUGAUACACUAGCUAUGAGUCAUGAGUGUUGUGGAGUAGUAAGAAACUCAGAACCAUUAAUAGUAUGGAUGCAUAGUUUAGCGUCAUUGCCGCAUUGCCGCGAGUUAUCUUGAGAGAGUAGAGGUAACUUGAUUUACCUUAGUGGUAUUGCACGUUGCAAAACCAAGGAACGAAAAAUCAUACGGCCAAAGCAGGAGAGAAGUUUCAUCAGUUUACUCCUUUUACUUAUAAAUUCGAAAAUACAGUUUGGCAUAAUUAUUAUGUAAUGUUUCUCAACACACCUACUUCCAUUCCUCUAACUGCUCUGUUCUGGUUUGUUACCAAUUUCUGCUGCCUGC